rnacentral:lncRNA from 1 species
CAACCCCCCCCCCCCCCCCCCCCCGCCUGAUCGUGCAUUUCGAAAGGGAAGAACCCAGCCAGCGCUUGGCUUUCGCUAGCCCAGGCGGCGCAGCGCCCUUUGCAGCCUCCCCCCCGAGUCCGGGUCGAUUUCGCUAGGAUUUUUCGGGUUUGCAGUCCUGGAAAAACACAAGGCUGGGCUUGACUUUUUGGACAGCACGCAGGAAAUGAGUCACAGCAGCCCAGUCCGCGACCCGAUGGAGCACCGACACCUUCUCGGAGAAGAGCCUGGAGGAUGGAGUUUGCUGCUGCGUUUGCCUGCUUUGGAGCCCCCGGACAUCCCUGGGUGUGAUCGGCUACUCCGGGUUAUCGCUGGUAGCAGCUGGGCCCUUGCGUCUCUGGCGAUUACAGGGAGCUUCUUUCGGGCUGUGCGAGGGCAUGGGAUGGGAAGCUGGAUUCUUGCAGCCUGUGCUUGACCUACAUUAAGAACAAGAUUCAGCAUCAGCCUGUACUGUUUCGUCUGUAUUUCAAGAUGUGCAAUAAACAUGGGGUUAAUCAGCA